UACAGAGGGUGCGAGCGUUGUUCGGAAUUAUUGGGCGUAAAGGGCGCGUAGGCGGUCUGUUGCGUCUGCUGUGAAAACUCGGGGCUUAACCCCGAGCCUGCAGUGGAUACGGGCAGACUAGAGGUAGGUAGGGGAGAAUGGAAUUCCCGGUGUAGCGGUGAAAUGCGCAGAUAUCGGGAGGAACACCGGUGGCGAAGGCGGUUCUCUGGGCCUUACCUGACGCUGAGGAGCGAAAGCGUGGGGAGCGAACAGG
rnacentral:rRNA from 1 species